rnacentral:rRNA from 1 species
UAAUACGGAGGGUGCAAGCGUUAUCCGGAAUCACUGGGUUUAAAGGGUGCGUAGGCGGCUAUGUAAGUCAGUUGUGAAAUACCUCGGCUUAACCGAAGGAAGUGCGAUUGAUACUGCGUAGCUUGAAUCAGGUUGAGGUAGGCGGAAUGUGACAUGUAGCGGUGAAAUGCUUAGAUAUGUCAUAGAACACCGAUUGCGAAGGCAGCUUACUGGGCUUUGAUUGACGCUGAGGCACGAAAGCGUGGGGAGCAAACAGGAUUAGAUACCCUGGUAGUCCACGCCCUAAACGAUGUUUACUUGCUGUUCCUCGCUUGACGGGGAGUGGCGAAGCGAAAGCGAUAAGUAAACCACCUGGGGAGUACGCCGGCAACGGUG